ACGAGCGCUGGCGGCGUGCUUAAUACAUGCAAGUCGAACGCGAAAGCACUCUUCGGAGUGCGAGUAGAGUGGCGAAUGGGUGAGUAACGCGUAGGUAAUGUACCCUCGAGAUUGAGAUACCCCGGGAAACCGGGGCUAAUACCGAAUGAAGCAUGACCUGUGGGAUGGUGAUGUGAAAGUGGCGCAAGUCACGUUUGGGGAGCAGCCUGCGUCCUAUCAGCUUGUUGGCGGGGUAACGGCCCACCAAGGCGAAGACGGGUAGCUGAUCUGAGAGGAUGAUCAGCCACACUGGGACUGAGACACGGCCCAGACUCCUACGGGAGGCAGCAGUAGGGAAUAUUGCGCAAUGGGGGAAACCCUGACGCAGCGACGCCGCGUGAGCGAAGAAGGCUUUAUUAGUCGUAAAGCUCUGUAGGGAGGGAAGAACCGCAGGUGGUAACGCAUCUGUCUGACGGUACCUCCAAAGUAAGGACCGGCUAAAUACGUGCCAGCAGCCGCGGUAAUACGUAUGGUCCGAGCGUUGUCCGGAAUUACUGGGCAUAAAGGGUGCGUAGGCGGAUGUGUAAGUCAGGUGUGAAAGCCCUCGGCUCAACCGGGGAAUUGCGCUUGAAACUGCACGUCUAGAGCAUGUCAGAGGCAGGCGGAAUUCCCGGAGUAGCAGUGAAAUGCGUAGAUAUCGGGAAGAACACCGGUGGCGAAGGCGGCCUGCUGGGACAGUGCUGACGCUGAGGCACGAAAGCGUGGGGAGCGAACGGGAUUAGAUACCCCGGUAGUCCACGCCGUAAACGAUGGGUACUAGAUGUUGGACACGCUGAAGUGUUCAGUGUCGAAACAAAUGCGAUAAGUAUCCCGCCUGGGGAGUACGACCGCAAGGUUUAAACUCAAAGGAAUUGACGGGGGCCCGCACAAGCGGUGGAGCAUGUGGUUUAAUUCGAUGCAACGCGAAGAACCUUACCCGGAUUUGACAUCCUUCGGACCGUCUCUGGAGACAGAGACUUUCUCUUCGGAGACCGAAGUGACAGGUGCUGCAUGGCUGUCGUCAGCUCGUGUUGUGAAAUGUUGGGUUAAGUCCCGCAACGAGCGCAACCCUUGUUCUUAGUUGCCAGCAUUAAGAUGGGCACUCUAAGAAGACUGCCGAGGUUAACUCGGAGGAAGGUGGGGAUGACGUCAAGUCCUCAUGGCCCUUAUGUCCGGGGCUACACACGUGCUACAAUGGUAUAGACAGAGGGAAGCUACGCCGCAAGGCCACGCGGAUCCUCAAACUGUAUCACAGUUCGGAUCGGGGUCUGCAACUCGACCUCGUGAAGGUGGAAUCGCUAGUAAUCGCGGAUCAGCAUGCCGCGGUGAUAAGUUCCCGGGCCUUGUACACACCGCCCGUCACACCAUGGAAGUUGUCUUCACUGGAAGAUGCUGAGCCAGCCAGGCAGGCAUCGAUGGUGGGGAUAAUAACUAGGGUGAAGUC
rnacentral:rRNA from 1 species